GCAGAUUAAGGCCAAACUUCGAUGUCAAGGAACUGACUGAAUGAGCGAGAUAUCUUUGAAGAGCAACAGCUUGAUGACAUGAGGGCCUACAUCAAACCAUGCUUCAUCACUCUCUUGUACGAUGACUUGUCAGUCUUACCUCAGACGUUGUGUAUGCACAGACAGAAGAACCAACUCAGCUGGACCCACAGGAGACUCAGUGGUAUCAGUUGCAAUGGAGCAGAGAGAAUUAAUAAAUAAUGGCCAUGUAUGAGGUACACUGGAACAAGCAACUGCAGUGCAGAUGUGCAUGUCAUAAGUCAGAGUAUCAUUAAAAAUAACAGAUACUGGAAU